UACGUAGGGUGCGAGCGUUAAUCGGAAUUACUGGGCGUAAAGUGUGCGCAGGCGGCCGCGCAAGUCGAGUGUGAAAGCCCCGGGCUUAACUUGGGAAUUGCGCUCGAAACUACGUGGCUGGAGUGUGGCAGAGGAAGGUGGAAUUCCGGGUGUAGUGGUGGAAUACGUAGAUAUCCGGAGGAACACCAGCGGCGAAGGCGGCUUUCUGGUCUGAUACUGACGCUGAGGCGCGAAAGCGUGGGGAGCGAUCCGG
rnacentral:rRNA from 1 species